rnacentral:rRNA from 1 species
UUCGCAGGCGGCGUAUUAAGUCAGUGGUGAAAUCCCUCGGCUCAACCGAGGAACUGCCAUUGAUACUGGUAUGCUAGAGUAUAGUUGGCGUAGGCGGAAUGUAUCAUGUAGCGGUGAAAUGCUUAGAUAUGAUACAGAACACCGAUCGCGAAGGCAGCUUACGAAACUAUAACUGACGCUCAGGAACGAAAGUGUGGGGAGCGAACAGGAUUAGAUACCCUGGUAGUCC